UGGGGAAUAUUGCGCAAUGGGCGAAAGCCUGAAGCAGCGACGCCGCGUGAGGGAUGAAGGUUUUCGGAUCGUAAACCUCUGUCAGAAGGGAAGAAACCGCACUGUGCUAAUCAGCAGUGCCUUGACGGUACCUUCAAAGGAAGCACCGGCUAACUCCGUGCCAGCAGCCGCGGUAAUACGGAGGGUGCAAGCGUUAAUCGGAAUUACUGGGCGUAAAGCGCACGUAGGCUGCUUUGUAAGUCAGGGGUGAAAUCCCACGGCUCAACCGUGGAACUGCCUUUGAUACUGCUUAGCUUGAAUCCGGGAGAGGGUGGCGGAAUUCCAGGUGUAGGAGUGAAAUCCGUAGAUAUCUGGAGGAACAUCAGUGGCGAAGGCGGCCACCUGGACCGGUAUUGACGCUGAGGUGCGAAAGCGUGGGGAGCAAACAGG
rnacentral:rRNA from 1 species